rnacentral:rRNA from 1 species
AUUGAACGCUGGCGGCAGGCCUAACACAUGCAAGUCGAGCGGAUGAUGGGAGCUUGCUCCCGGAUUCAGCGGCGGACGGGUGAGUAAUGCCUAGGAAUCUGCCUGGUAGUGGGGGACAACGUCUCGAAAGGGACGCUAAUACCGCAUACGUCCUACGGGAGAAAGCAGGGGACCUUCGGGCCUUGCGCUAUCAGAUGAGCCUAGGUCGGAUUAGCUAGUUGGUGAGGUAAUGGCUCACCAAGGCGACGAUCCGUAACUGGUCUGAGAGGAUGAUCAGUCACACUGGAACUGAGACACGGUCCAGACUCCUACGGGAGGCAGCAGUGGGGAAUAUUGGACAAUGGGCGAAAGCCUGAUCCAGCCAUGCCGCGUGUGUGAAGAAGGUCUUCGGAUUGUAAAGCACUUUAAGUUGGGAGGAAGGGUUGUACGUUAAUACCGUGCAAUUUUGACGUUACCGACAGAAUAAGCACCGGCUAACUCUGUGCCAGCAGCCGCCGUAAGAC